rnacentral:rRNA from 1 species
GAUUUCUGGCGGAACAUUUCAGGCCGGCCACGGUUUCGUGUGUUAGUGCUUGAAGUCUUCGCCAUCCUUCCAAUGGCUAUUCAUCCUUCUUCAUUGAGGUGGUGAGUGGUAUUGGAUCUUUUACUUUGAAAAAAUUAGAGUGUUUCAAGCAGGCUUUAUGCUAUGAAUACAUUAGCAUGGAAUAAUAAUUUAGGACUUCGGUUCUAUUUUGUUGGUUUCUAGGACUGAAGUAAUGAUUGAUAGGGAUAGUUGGGGGUGCUAGUAUUCAGCGGCCAGAGGUGAAAUUCUCGGAUUCGCUGAAGACUAACUUAUGCGAAAGCAUU